GCUGGAGGUAUCAGAAGUGCGAAUGCUGACAUAAGUAACGAUAAAGCGGGUGAAAAGCCCGCUCGCCGGAAGACCAAGGGUUCCUGUCCAACGUUAAUCGGGGCAGGGUGAGUCGACCCCUAAGGCGAGGCCGAAAGGCGUAGUCGAUGGGAAACGGGUUAAUAUUCCCGUACUUGGUGUUACUGCGAAGGGGGGACGGAGAAGGCUAUGUUGGCCGGGCGACGGUUGUCCCGGUUUAAGCGUGUAGGUGUGUGUUCCAGGUAAAUCCGGUUCACUUUAACACUGAGGCGUGACGACGAGGCACUACGGUGCUGAAGCAACAAAUGCCCUGCUUCCAGGAAAAGCCUCUAAGCAUCAGGUAACAUCAAAUCGUACCCCAAACCGACACAGGUGGUCAGGUAGAGAAUACCAAGGCGCUUGAGAGAACUCGGGUGAAGGAACUAGGCAAAAUGGUGCCGUAACUUCGGGAGAAGGCACGCUGACACGUAGGUGAAGUGAUUUACUCAUGGAGCUGAAGUCAGUCGAAGAUACCAGCUGGCUGCAACUGUUUAUUAAAAACACAGCACUGUGCAAACACGAAAGUGGACGUAUACGGUGUGACGCCUGCCCGGUGCCGGAAGGUUAAUUGAUGGGGUCAGCGCAAGCGAAGCUCCUGAUCGAAGCCCCGGUAAACGGCGGCCGUAACUAUAACGGUCCUAAGGUAGCGAAAUUCCUUGUCGGGUAAGUUCCGACCUGCACGAAUGGCGUAAUGAUGGCCAGGCUGUCUCCACCCGAGACUCAGUGAAAUUGAACUCGCUGUGAAGAUGCAGUGUACCCGCGGCAAGACGGAAAGACCCCGUGAACCUUUACUAUAGCUUGACACUGAACAUUGAGCCUUGAUGUGUAGGAUAGGUGGGAGGCUUUGAAGUGUGGACGCCAGUCUGCAUGGAGCCGACCUUGAAAUACCACCCUUUAAUGUUUGAUGUUCUAACGUGGACCCGUUACCCGGGUUGCGGACAGUGUCUGGUGGGUAGUUUGACUGGGGCGGUCUCCUCCUAAAGAGUAACGGAGGAGCACGAAGGUUGGCUAAUCCUGGUCGGACAUCAGGAGGUUAGUGCAAUGGCAUAAGCCAGCUUGACUGCGAGCGUGACGGCGCGAGCAGGUGCGAAAGCAGGUCAUAGUGAUCCGGUGGUUCUGAAUGGAAGGGCCAUCGCUCAACGGAUAAAAGGUACUCCGGGGAUAACAGGCUGAUACCGCCCAAGAGUUCAUAUCGACGGCGGUGUUUGGCACCUCGAUGUCGGCUCAUCACAUCCUGGGGCUGAAGUAGGUCCCAAGGGUAUGGCUGUUCGCCAUUUAAAGUGGUACGCGAGCUGGGUUUAGAACGUCGUGAGACAGUUCGGUCCCUAUCUGCCGUGGGCGCUGGAGAACUGAGGGGGGCUGCUCCUAGUACGAGAGGACCGGAGUGGACGCAUCACUGGUGUUCGGGUUGUCAUGCCAAUGGCACUGCCCGGUAGCUAAAUGCGGAAGAGAUAAGUGCUGAAAGCAUCUAAGCACGAAACUUGCCCCGAGAUGAGUUCUCCCUGAGACUUAGAGUCUCCUGAAGGAACGUUGAAGACGACGACGUUGAUAGGCCGGGUGUGUAAGCGCAGCGAUGCGUUGAGCUAACCGGUACUAAUGAACCGUGAGGCUUAACCUUAC
rnacentral:rRNA from 2 species